GGGGAUAACCAAACGAAAGUUUGGCUAAUACCGCGUAAGCUCCAAGGAGGAAAGUAGGGGACCUAAAUAAGGCCUUACGCUAUUUGAUCGGCCGAUGUCGGAUUAGCUAGUUGGUGGGUAAUGGCUCACCAAGGCAAUGAUCCGUAGCGGGUCUGAGAGGACGAUCCGCCACACUGGGACUGAGACACGGCCCAG
rnacentral:rRNA from 1 species